rnacentral:lncRNA from 1 species
GACCAUAGCAAACGCCUUACGAAUGAAUCGGAUACUCGUGAACAGACAGUAAGUGCUUCGAGAGACGCUGUGCGCACACUUCUCGCUGCCGAAAGCCGUCUCGUCCAGGAUGCAUUGAAGCGGACACACACAGCCUGCAGCGAAGAACAACGCGACGGACAUUGCUCUACUCCACUUGGCAUCCUCUUAGACCCCCUCGUGAGCCUUGGCCGACGCCUGGCAAUGCUGGUUGGCUGCACUCGUAUCUGACGAGCCCGGCGACGUCUUGCUGCAGCGGUAGCCUUGAGUGCCAGCAUCAGCGCAGUUCCAUCCGUGCUGUUUUGCACACGAGCCAGCUCCUCUCCAAGGCCCUUCAGAAUCUCGAGAAUCUUCUGAUGGUC